AGCGCCACAAACCCCAUCACUUUAGUUCAUUUAUGAUGGAGCGUGGUGAGGCAUUAAACUGUUCUGCCGUCUGAUCAGCUCUUUUUGGAAAUCUCCAGGUGAGCAGGUAAAGGUCAAGAGGGAGGAUCUGUUAUCAGUAUACAGUGGGUGGAUUAGAGAACGUGGGCUGAGUAACUUGCACAUGUGGUGAGUGAUAUCAGCAGGUUAGGAACACAAAACCUGCUGAUAUUACUCGCACAAUAGUUUUCUACCUGAAUGUGUUUGUUCUUUACAAACAAAGGCCUAAUUGUUUUACAAAAUUUUAAAUGAAUAGUAUUCAUGAUGAUAUUAUUACCAUAUGAUCUUAUCUUUCAUUAAAAAGGAAUUGUCAUUGCUUUAUAUCAUCACUUGGAGGUUUUUUUUUUUUUUUUUUUUAUUGUUUUUUGCACUACCACACAGAUGCUGCAAAAAUCUUUUGUCUCCUGCUGAGCUGACAGAUCAAAUUUUCCUCUCCCUGUUUGUUCUUUUUCUUGUUGCCUGUUACUCUUGUUCAUAUGAGCUUUGGUGUUUAAACUUUUAUUUUAAGAGUCAUUCCUGUAGAAAGCUGUGCUUCCUUUGUUUCAGUCAGACUUUCUCCUGCUGUCCUGCUUCAGCGGUGCAGGCUUCUCUCCUGCAACAUCGUCCCCACCUGGAGGAAAACGUGUUUCCUUAUACAGAGAAAUGGGGGCGUGGCAGGAUGCAGAUUGCACAAGCCUGUUUGUGCCAAAUGAUACAGAGUUAUUAACAUAUACACAUUGGUUAGAUCAACACAGCCUUGUGAGCUUCAUGUUUCAUAAAUCCAACAGUAACUUAGAUUUAUUUAUUUAUUUAUUUAUUUUUUUUGGAGCAAACUAACAAGGUUUCCACGCACAUGCUAGUAAGCUGCUCCUCCAUAAACGGCAGUAAAUUAGCCUAUUUUACUGUACACACCUGCUUCUAGACAAAAUGAGACAAGAACAAAAUCAGUAUGUCGAUAUAAAAUAAAGUAACACCUGUGUGCUUGGUUUGUUCUUAAAGGUAGAUGCGUUUGUCUAUGAAACGCAUGCAUCAGCUGAUUGUCUGCACAGCUACAUGCUGCUUCAUUGCUGUGUAGCUAAGGAGACUCCCUAACUGAUACAAAUGUAGCAGGAGUCCAGAUCACUUCGCACUCACACUGUGCCUUUAGCUUGGCAUCAUGUAAGCAACUAAAAGUUUGUGCAUAUUUGUGACACAUUCACGAUGUCGUUGUGCUGUCUUUGGUUAUAUUUAGUGUGGCUAAUCAAUGCCUUGACCUCACCUAUCAGCUCUUCUUCAUUUCUAUUUGAAACCUGCUGCUGCUGGAGCUGCAG
ensembl:lncRNA